rnacentral:rRNA from 1 species
CCUACGGGAGGCCGCAGUGAGGAAUAUUGGUCAAUGGCCGUAAGGCUGAACCAGCCAAGUCGCGUGAAGGAAGAAGGAUCUAUGGUUUGUAAACCUCUUUUGUAGGGGAAUAAAGGUAUCCACGUGUGGAUAUUUGCAUGUACCCUAUGAAUAAGCAUCGGCUAACUCCGUGCCAGCAGCCGCGGUAAUACGGAGGAUGCUAGCGUUAUCCGGAUUUAUUGGGUUUAAAGGGUGCGUAGGUUGCUUUUUAAGUAAGCGGUGAAAGUUUGUGGCUCAACCAUAAAAUUGCCGUUGAAACUGGAAGACUUGAGUGUGUUUGAGGCAGGCGGAAUGCGUGGUGUAGCGGUGAAAUGCAUAGAUAUCACGCAGAACUCCGAUUGCGAAGGCAGCUUACUAAGCCAUAACUGACGCUGAUGCACGAAAGCGUGGGGAUCGAACAGGAUUAGAUACCCGGGUAGUC